rnacentral:rRNA from 1 species
CCUACGGGAGGCAGCAGUGGGGAAUAUUGCACAAUGGAGGAAACCCUGAUGCAGCGACGCCGCGUGAGUGAAGAAGUAUUUCGGUACAUAAAGCUCUAUCAGCAGGGAAGAAAAUGACGGUACCUGACUAAGAAGCCCCGGCUAACUACGUGCCAGCAGCCGCGGUAAUACGUAGGGGGCAAGCGUUCUCCGGAUUUAAUGGGUGUAACGGGAGCGUAGACGGCAGCGCAAGUCUGGAGUGAAAGGCCGGGGCGCAACCCCGGAACUGCUUUGGAAACUGUGCAGCUGGAGUGCAGGAGAGGUAAGCGGAAUUCCUAGUGUAGCGGUGAAAUGCGUAGAUAUUAGGAGGAACACCAGUGGCGAAGGCGGCUCACUGGACUGUAACUGACGUUGAGGCUCGAAAGCGUGGGGAGCAAACAGGAUUAGAUACCCGUGUAGUC